CAGUCGCGCGGUAAAACGAAGGGUGCAAGCGUUAAUCGGAAUUACUGGGCGUAAAGCGUGCGUAGGCGGUUUGUUAAGUCUGUUGUGAAAUCCCCGGGCUCAACCUGGGAAUGGCAAUGGAUACUGGCAAGCUAGAGUGUGUCAGAGGAUGGUGGAAUUCCCGGUGUAGCGGUGAAAUGCGUAGAGAUCGGGAGGAACAUCAGUGGCGAAGGCGGCCAUCUGGGACAACACUGACGCUGAGGCACGAAAGCGUGGGGAGCAAACAGGAUUAGAUACCCCCGUAGUCCCUGUCUCUUAUACC
rnacentral:rRNA from 1 species